rnacentral:lncRNA from 1 species
UUACAACCUGUGUACUAUGCUCCAGCUUUUGUGAGCUGUCAUUCUUGCUGGAGUGGCCUUUGAUGCUGCAGUUGUCUUUGAGUCCUUUCUGCUCCUAUGGGGGUCUCAGUAUGCAGCCCUAGCUAGCCUUGACCUUAUAGAGAUCGUCUUCCCUGACUUCUGAGCUCCAGCAGCACCAGCAGUUUGGAAAUGUGAACUCCCGUUUAAAGUCCCGGCAUAUGCAUCUGUUUCCCACUUGCCACGUGACCUCUCCAAGCCUUCUUCUCCAAUAGUUGGGUUAAUAGGCCAUCAGAGAGCAAUGCAUAGCCCACAUUCAGAAAACCUGCUGGGGUGGGGGUCGCUCUGAACCCACACACAGAUGCUCCUGGCCUUUCUUCCUCUGGCUCCCUCCCCUCCCACUGCCCACAAAGCUUCAGAAAGCCACAGGACCCACUCAUCAAUGUCCUGAAACCAAAUAUCAGGGAGCUAAAAGACAGAAGAGUUUCUUUGAAGUUUAGUGCUUAAAAGAGGGUGGGGUGGGAGGCAAAAUAAACUUAUAAAAAAGCAGAAGUGAGUUCCUGCGUUGGUCCUCAGCUCCAGCUGAUGCCUGGAAGGCCAGCCUCCCUAUUUCUCCUUUCAUUUAGACAUAGCAUCCCUGUGUAGAACCGCAGGCCCUUUCACACUUAUUUCUUCUCCUGACAAGCGAUGUAAGCAACAUCAAUUUUCAGACAAUGAGGAAAAGACAUGUAGUGGCUUUCUCCUGUGGUUCUAGCUCCUCAGAAUAUUGAGGCAGUAGGAUUGUCACCUUUAAGGCCUGUCUGAGCUACAGAAAGAAUGCAAGGCUAGCUUAAGUAACCUAGCAAGAUUGUUUCAAAACAAGACAGAACAAAAUAAAAUAAUAACAUGAAAUGAAAGAGGGCAGCUGGACUGGGAUGGCUGUGCCAUUAAACCCAGCACUCAGGAGGCAGAGGCAGGCAGAUCUUCAGGGUCGAGCCCAGCCUGCUCUACAGAUUUAGUUCCAGGACAGUCAAGGCUACAAAGAGAGACCUUGUCUCAGAACCCCCACCCCCACCCCCCAAAAUAGAAAAGAGAAAAUGCAGGAGGGCUAGGUCAGUGGUAGAGCAUUUGUCUAGUACAUUCCCCAGCCCUGCCUUCAAUUUCCCAGUCCCAAAGCCCAGAUAAAGCAAACAAACAAAAGUCUACUUUUAUGGGCUGGUCUGUCUCCCUCCCUCCUUCUCUGUCUCCGUCUCUAUGUCUCUCUGUGUCUGUCUCUGUCUCUCUCUCUCUCUCUCUCUCUCUCUGUGUGUGUGUGUGUGUGUGUGUGUAUGUGUAUCUGCCUGUCUGUCUCUCUGUGUCUCUCUAUAUGUCUCUCUGUCUCUCUGCCUCCUUGUCUCUCUGCCUCUGUCUCUCUGUCUCUCUGUGUGUAUGUAUCUGCCUGUCUGUCUCUCUGUGUCUCUCUAUAUGUCUCUCUGUCUCUCUGCCUCCUUGUCUCUCUGCCUCUGUCUCUCUGUCUGUCUCUCUGUGUGUAUGUAUCUGCCUGUCUGUCUCUCUGUGUCUCUCUAUAUGUCUCUCUGCCUCCUUGUCUCUCUGCCUCUGUCUCUCUGCCUCUGUGUGUGUGUGUAUCUGCCUGUCUGUCUCUCUGUGUCUCUCUAUAUGUCUCUCUGUCUCUCUGCCUCCUUGUCUCUCUGCCUCUGUCUCUCUGUCUGUCUCUGUGUGUGUGUGUGUGUAUCUGCCUGUCUGUCUCUCUGUGUCUCUCUAUAUGUCUCUCUGUCUCUCUGCCUCCUUGUCUCUCUGCCUCUGUCUCUCUGUCUGUCUCUGUGUGUGUGUAUCUGCCUGUCUGUCUCUCUGUGUCUCUCUAUAUGUCUGUCUCCUUGUCUCUCUGCCUCCCUGUCUCUCUGUCUCUGUCUCUCUGUCUGUCUCUCUGUCUCUCUGUCUCUCUGUCUCUGUCUCUCUCUCUCUCUCUCUCUCUCUCACACACACACACACACACACACACACACACACACACACACAUAAAUAAGAGGUCCUGUUUAAGAGGACCCAAGGACUCCCUGGGUGCCUGGUCUGGACGCAGUGCUUUGUUUGGCUUCGUUGUGUUCGCAGUCUCUAUUCUGCCACCCUCUUCCCCUUCCCAGACUCAUGGCAAGCAACAAAGCGGGUUGAUUAUGCUGCCUUUGAAAACUUUGAACUAGGGAGGCUCAAUAUCUUGUGCAAAAAAUCCCUUUCCCCUCCUUUCAGGGCUGAAAGAGCUUCCCUGUGCAGCCUGGUUUUAAAACUCUCAUGCCAAGCAUGGAAAAUUCUAUAAAUACCAAAUGCAAACGUGGAAUUUAACCUUUAAUUAUUCUAGCCUCUAGCUCAGCCUCCCCC